rnacentral:rRNA from 1 species
UACGUAGGGGCCGAGCGUUGUCCAGAGUUAUUGGGCGUAAAGCGCGCGCAGGCGGCCUCGCGCGCCCGACGUGAAAGCCCCCGGCUUAACCGGGGAGGGUCGUUGGGGACGGCGGGGCUUGAGGGCGGGAGAGGUCGGUGGAAUUCCCGGUGUAGUGGUGAAAUGCGUAGAGAUCGGGAGGAACACCUGUGGCGAAGGCGGCCGACUGGGCCGACCCUGACGCUGAGGCGGCGAAGGCGUGGGGAGCGAACGGG